UGAUUGGAUUGGGCAGUCGCUGGCGCUUUGCGCGAGAGGAAAGUCCGAGCCCCAUAGAGCAGGAUGACGGCUAACGGCCGCCGAGGGUGACCUUAGGGAAAGUGCAACAGAGAUAUACCGCUCGUUUUACGAGUAAGGGUGGAAAGGCGAGGUAAGAGCUCACCAGCGUGGUGGAGACAUCACGGCUAUGUAAACCCCAUCUGGAGCAACACCGACUUGCAUAGGCUUGCUCGGCCGCUUUAAAGCAGAAGGGUGGCUUGAACCACUCAGCAAUGGGUGGUCUAGAUAGAUGAUUGCCUUGAAAGACAGAACUCGGCUUACAGAUCCUAUCACGCU
rnacentral:RNase_P_RNA from 1 species